CAAAGUCCAAUGCUGAGGCAAAGCUGUUGCAGAUAAAUGCCAUGGGAUUCGGGUUUUUACGGUUUAUCCAUCGAUGGACGUUAAAGUAAAAAGUCAUGGUAGCAUUGGCAAGAUCAUAUGACCUAGCCUCAAAUAAAAUGAAUUUGACAAGGAAAACCCAACGCACAUGGCAAUAAAGAAUCAAUUUAACCGUGCAACAGCAACGAAACUUCGCGACUACAUAUACGAGUGCUCCAUGGACAGUGAAGCUAAUAGGAUGAAAUUCCAAAGACAUUUUAUAUUGCUUGUGAUGCAGAUGUUCC